rnacentral:misc_RNA from 1 species
GUGGGUAUAAGAGACAGGUGAGUCAUCGAAUCUUUGAACGCACAUUGCGCCCGCUAGUAUUCUGGCGGGCAUGCCUGUUCGAGCGUCAUUUCAACCAUCAAGCCCCCCGGCUUGCGUUGGAGCCCUGCGGCUGCCGCAAGCUCCUAAAUCCAGUGGCGGGCUCGUCGUCGUACCGAGUGCAGUAAACAUCCUCGCUCAGGGAACGCGACGGGUUCUUGCCGUAAAACCCCCCCUAUAUCAAGGUUGACCUCGGAUCAGGUAGGAAUACCCGCUGAACUUAAGCAUAUCAAUAAGCGGAGG